GGACAGCUUUGCACUCGUGAGACAACUCUGGGAUCUGACCCCAGGACCACCUGCACACCUAAGAAUGGAUUAAAUUACAACACAGACACAUCCACACAGAGCGGCUGCUCUUGGAAGAUGUGUGUGCAUAUACGUGUCUCUCCUUUGCACCCUUCAUGGUUUCACACCAGCCCUGCAGCUACAGAGUUUCCAUUGGCCUGUGAGCAUUGGGAAAGCUCUCUGGCCCAGCAUGUGCACUUCACCUGAUGCUUAUGGAAGACAUACAGCACACAAAUGCACACUAAUAAACAGGAAAACACCUCCUCCAAGAUUGCUCUAGGCCUCAGAGGAUUUGGCGAGAGCUUCGAAGCAGUGCAGGCAGGGCCUUCCUGACAUUGUGGCAUGACUUCUGCUUGCUGCCUUCUCCCAUAAAACAGUGAUUCCUCCGUAGAAAGCACUCAGCAGUGGGUGAGUACUUUCUACUAUGCCUGAAUCAGGCCUCAGAGCAAACAUCAAGGCCUGAUGUUUACGUAACGAUACUUGCUUCACUCUGACUCACUCCUGUCUUCCUCAGGGAGAGCAUGGAGAACAAGCACAUCGUGCAACCCCAAGCCACCCCCACCCCUUACUUCUUGGUGCUGUGGCUAGCUGUCUUCACACAAUGGUUGGUACUCACUUACCCAGAGGCCC
rnacentral:lncRNA from 1 species